rnacentral:lncRNA from 1 species
UUGAUCAUGUUUGCUUUGAUGAAUUUGCAUUGAGUCUUUCACACAUACCUUUUUGCAUAAAAAAAAAACAUAUAGAUUGCAUCACUUACAUUUUUAGGAGAGUCUAGAGCAUAUAGGUUGCAUUUACUUGCAUUGGGAGCAAUGAUUUAAGAUGCCUUGUAAAGAACACUAUCUCACAGUCGAGUAGCUAUUGCAUCUCUCAAAAAGCCUUGUAUGCUUUGAGCCUUGAAAACUCUUCCUGAAUCUCAUUAGUUGCUGAAACUCAAU